GAUGAAGAACGCAGCGAAAUGCGAUAAGUAGUGUGAAUUGCAGAAUUCAGUGAAUCAUCGAAUCUUUGAACGCACAUUGCGCCCCUUGGUAUUCCAUGGGGCAUGCCUGUUCGAGCGUCAUUUGUACCUUCAAGCUCUGCUUGGUGUUGGGUGUUUGUCUCGCCUCUGCGUGUAGACUCGCCUCAAAACAAUUGGCAGCCGGCGUAUUGAUUUCGGAGCGCAGUACAUCUCGCGCUUUGCACUCAUAACGACGACGUCCAAAAGUACAUUUCUACACUCUUGACCUCGGAUCAGGUAGGGAUACCCGCUGAACUUAAGCAUAUCAAUAAGCGGAGGA
rnacentral:misc_RNA from 1 species